GCUUGCUAAAGGGCUGAGCUAUAACACUCUCAAGGUGCACGUCUCAGCUUUGUCCGCUCUAACCAAUCAUCGAUGGGCACUGGACGCGGAUGUCAUCAGAUUCAUCAAAGGAGUCCUUCAGAUAAAACCUCCUAUUAAACCAUUUGUUCCAUCUUGGAAUCUCCCUUUGGUCUUGAAUGCCCUAAAGUUGGAACCCUUUGAACCGUUUGACACAGUUCCUCUUCAUGCUCUCUCUAUUAAGACUGCUCUGCUGAUUGCCCUAGCUUCCGUCAGGAGGGUUUCUGAGCUCCAUGCUCUAUCCAUUAAGGAGCCUUUUACGGUCUUUCACAAAGACAGAGUUGUCCUCCGUACGGUUCCCGAAUUUCGACCUAAAGUCAC